GCUCAGCAGCACUCUUUCUCA
rnacentral:miRNA from 1 species